rnacentral:rRNA from 1 species
UCGAGCGGACAGAUGGGAGCUUGCUCCCUGAUGUUAGCGGCGGACGGGUGAGUAACACGUGGGUAACCUGCCUGUAAGACUGGGAUAACUCCGGGAAACCGGGGCUAAUACCGGAUGCUUGUUUGAACCGCAUGGUUCAAACAUAAAAGGUGGCUUCGGCUACCACUUACAGAUGGACCCGCGGCGCAUUAGCUAGUUGGUGAGGUAACGGCUCACCAAGGCGACGAUGCGUAGCCGACCUGAGAGGGUGAUCGGCCACACUGGGACUGAGACACGGCCCAGACUCCUACGGGAGGCAGCAGUAGGGAAUCUUCCGCAAUGGACGAAAGUCUGACGGACCAACGCCGCGUGAGUGAUGAAGGUUUUCGGAUCGCAAAGCUCUGUUGUUAGGGAAGAAC